GAUGAACGCUGGCGGCGUGCCUAAUACAUGCAAGUCGAGCGGACGGACGAGAAGCUUGCUUCUCUGAUGUUAGCGGCGGACGGGUGAGUAACACGUGGAUAACCUACCUAUCUGACUGGGAUAACUUCGGGAAACCGGAGCUAAUACCGGAUGAUCUUUUGAACCGCAGGGUUGAAAAGAGAAAGACGGUCUUUCUGUCACUUAUAGCUGGAUCCGCGCUGCAUUAGCUAGUUGGUAAGGUAACGGCUUACCAAGGCAACGAUGCAUGGCCGAGCUGAGAGGGGGAUCGGCGACACUGGAACUGAGACACGGUCCAGACUCCUACGGGAGGCAGCAGUAGGGAAUCGUCCGCAAUGGGCGAAAGCCUGACGGAGUAGCGCCGCGCGAGAGAUGAAGGUCUUCGGAUCGUAAAACUCUGUUAUUAGGGAAGAACAUAUGUGUAAGUAACUGUGCACAUCUUGACGGUACCUAAUCAGAAAGCCACGGCUAACUACGUG
rnacentral:rRNA from 1 species